CCUCCUGCACCAAGAGGCGUUCCUCAGAUUAAUGUCUGCUUCGACAUUGAUGCUAAUGGGAUUUUGAAUGUCUCUGCGGAGGAUAAAACCGCGGGUGUGAAGAACAAGAUUACUAUAACAAACGACAAGGGUAGGUUGAGUAAGGAGGAGAUAGAGAAGAUGGUGAAGGAUGCAGAGAGGUACAAGGCAGAGGAUGAAGAGGUGAAGAAGAAGGUGGAGGCGAAAAACUCGCUCGAGAAUUAUGCUUACAACAUGAGGAACACGAUAAAGGAUGAGAAGAUAGGGGGGAAGUUGGGGGCGGAUGAUAAGCAGAAGAUUGAGAAGGCUGUGGAGGAUGCGAUUCAGUGGCUGGAGGGGAACCAGUUGGCGGAAGUGGACGAGCUUGAAGACAAGCUGAAGGAGUUGGAAGGAAUCUGCAACCCCAUCAUUGCCAAGAUGUAUCAGGGUGGUGCUGGUGGAGAUGUUCCUAUGGCUGAUGACAUGCCUGGUGGUGGGUCUGGUUCUGCUGCUGGACCUAAGAUUGAAGAAGUUGACUGAGACUGACUUCAAGCUUGUGUUCCAGAGUGAAUCAAGACCUAUAGGAUCUUUGUUGUUGUCUACUUGUUAUUUUGUUCUGAAAAUGUAAGCUUAGCGAUGUGAAGUUUCCCCAAGAUUGAAUAAAAGUUUGUUUAGUUCUUUCAUCAAUAAAUGUUUUGAUUCAGAACAAGUUUGAUACUUUCUUUUGAUCAAAUUUAACAAUAAUUAAUAUAAAAGAGGUGCAAGAAAGUCAAAACUAAACUUAAAGGAUUUAUGAUUUUCACAUCUAACUAUAACUUUAAAAUAAUAAACGGGUUAUAUUUAAUAUUUAAGUAAUUUAAAUCGUUCAAAAUAAGAUAUAUUUAAUAUUUUCUUUACAUUAAUGUAUGGUAACAAAAACAUUUUAACAUAAAAUAAAUAUAUUUAACAUGCUAAAAAUGUAUAGGUUCCAUUGAUAAGACAUUAAUACUAAACAAUUUGUAAUUUUGAGUCACUAGUGCAUCAUGUAAUUAUUAUUUUAACCAAAAAGUUGCGUGAAGAAAUAAAGCAAAUGAAAAAAAAUGCUUUAUUAUUAUUAUUAUUAUUAUCAUGCUUAAAUGUUGAAGUUAUGUAGUAGUAUUUUUGCGAUGUUGGAGUUUGAAAGGAGCGAGUGGAGCUAAUAGGUGUCACAGAGUUUAGGAUAAGAGAUAUGCGCCAUAGUUGAAGAAGCGAGAAUAAGGAAGGGUCCGCGUGCCAUGGCUGGCAUCACCACCGUCCCCUUCAAACUCUUUCACUACCACGCCACACCUUCUCCUCUCUUCACUUCUUCCCAUUCCAAACUCUUCGGCCUUUCCCUCUCUAAUCCCAAUUCCCUCAAAUACGAUCCUUCUCUCUCCACCUCUCUCUUCUACGUAACCGCCCGCUACGGUGGCGGCGGCGGCGGCUCUCGCUCCUUCGGCUCCGGCGACUCCCGUAGACGCCAGCCCGAAACCGACGACGACCAGGCUCUCGACCUCUCCACCCUCAGGUUCUGUCUCCCUCCUUGUCAAUUCCUUUCUCUCUUAUGCUUCCUCUGUAAUUUCGUCGUUAAGAAUGCUUUGAAUUUGAAAUAGGUCAGAUACCGUGAGGCUUAUUGAUCAGAACCAGAAUAUGGUUUGUUCUUUUUUUCCUUCUUUUGUAUUUCAGCGCUUUCAAUUCUGUUCGCUAGAGAAGCACUUCUAGACUGAGCUACUACGUUUAGAAGUUUUAUUUGAUUGAUUGAUUCGAGGAUUGUAUUCUUUGAGUUGUGAAUCUUUCUAAUUCGGUCUGAACCUAGCGGAGGUUGCUGAACUUGUUGUGUUUUUGUAGGUUGGAGUAAUGUCAAUUGAUGACGCCAUUCAAAUGGCUGAGGAUGUCGAACUUGAUUUGGUAUGAUGUCUUGUGCCCUGAGAUUGCUGCUUCUGUGCUAAGUUUUGCACUACUUGUUGCCUACAGUGUCGUGGUUUUCUCAUUUACAUUUCUCCCUCCUUUUGUUAUUGUCUCAGUUCGAAAGUACACUAUUUAGUUGUAUAUGUUUUGCCAUAUAAUUUCAGCUUAAUUAAUAUAACUUACUUUCACUAUGCCUAGUGUAGGUAGAUGAUGGAAAUGGCAGUAAGUAGAAAGCGGAAGUGCUUCCUAUAGUUUCACUUAGUUCAUGUUUGAAUAAACUUUUCUAUUAGGUAAACAAGAAGGUAAAAUGAGUCGAGCUUCUUCCAUAAAUUAAGAUAAGCUUAAGUACUUUAACUUUGAUAGAAGUUCUCUCAUCUAAUUUCCGCAACAGGUGAUAAGUUGGUUUUAACUUAUAGUAGAAUCUCAAUUCAUUUUACCUUUUUAUUUUUCUUCCCUAUGAGUGAUUGCAGGGAAAUCUAUCCAAACAAAGCUUUAUAUAGAUAUCACAAAUAAAAGUGAAUGAAAUCUGUCUUAAUAUGUGGUGUUGAAAACCUAAUUGAUUCAGGAAAGUUGACAAUCAAUUCAGUGGGAAGUUUCUGACAUCAAUGUGUGACCUUAUUUACUCUCGUUUUUUGGUCAGGUAAUAUUAUCCCCAGAUGCAGAUCCUCCUGUUGUUAGAAUAAUGAAUUACAGGUAUUAUCUUUGUAUAUCACGAGAGAAAAACUCUGCAUUUCUGUUAUCAAAAUGCCGAUGGUUAAUGCCCACAUCAAAAUUUUUAUGCAUUUUUCAAUCAAUUUAGCAGUUAAUGAUCUGUGUGUAUACUUGUUUAACAAUAGUUGAACAUUAAGUAGUUUGAAUUGGGUUGAUAGAGCACUAAUAAAAUUUAGUUUCCAGUUUCUCUUGAUUCUGGCCUUGUGCAACUAUGUUUUAGUCAAUUUUUAUUAAUCAGGGAACAGUGGCGGCGGAGCUGGGAGUAUUUUUUGCAUUCAGUUGUCUGUAAAUGAAUGUAGUGCUUCCAUGUAUAUUCGGGGUGGGGUGUUGUGAAGACAUGAUAGAGAAAAAAGUAACAGGGGAUCAAUGGGGAGAUUAAUUGACACUUGUGUAGUUGUUUCAAGAAAGACUAUAGCAUUUGAUGUUCGUUUGACUAAAUAAAAUGAAUCUGCAUGAAGGACGUGCCUAAAUCUGCAUCUGUUUGACAUGAUUGAGCACUUGUAUACUUAUAGCUUAAGAAUUGUUGGACCUUGUAAUUGAUCCUUGUAUUUUCUUCUGAACAGUAAAUAUCGAUAUGAACAACAGAAGAAGAAAAGAGGACAGCAGAAGAAAAGUGCUGGUAAACAUUGAUAUUUUCUUCUAAAUUAUUUGCAAAACUCAAAAAACAAUAAAUUACUGACCUAAUAGUCUUUUAAAUGUAGCUAAUCGGAUGGAUUUGAAGGAGCUCAAAAUGGGGUAAUGUCCUAAGCUAAUCUUGGACAAUUGUUCUUCAGAUUUCUUAAUUAUGGAUCAAAUACUACUUUUAUCAAUAUUUUUAAUAAGCGUUAGAAAUCUGAAGAAGUAUAUUUUGCUAUUUCAGGCAAUCUAGUUUGGUUUUGGUUAAGUAUUUGUUCUCGGGAAAGGCAUUACACACAUCUACACAAGUUAAUUAUUUCUGUUAAUUUCAGGAAACUAGAGGAAGAACAACAACCUAACCUUUCCCCACUUGGCGAAUUUGACUACAUGGACCAAAUGAUGUCCUUUGAUUCCACAUAUAGUUUUUCUCUGUUUUCCUCUGUGUCUAUUGAUCAGGGUACUUUUCAUCCAAUCUACUCACCUUAUUGGGGGUUUUACAUGUCUUUUCUACGCAUGUCCAAAUCCCCUAAGGUGAGUUUCUACCAUUUCUUCUACUAUAGAAGCUAUUCUUACUUUUUCUCUAAUACAUUCCUAAUUUUAUCUUGUUUGAUGUGUCUACUCAUUUUUUCUACAUCGAAUUUAUUCUCUUAGCUUUUUACCAUUCGACAUGCAGUUCCAUACAACAUUGAGUUGUGUGAUAAAAUCUUCCUUUAAGUUUGGUUGGUACCUUUUUGUCACAAAUGAUAGCCAAAGAACUUCUCCAUUUUCUCCUUCGCUCUUGAAUCCCAUUGUAUAUACCUCCCUUCGUUUCUUUGUUAUUCCAUGUGAUGGAACUUGAUACUUAAAUAACAUGACUUUUGGUGUACUAUACUCUCCUAGUUUUACUUUUUUGGUAGGGAUAUUGCGUCAGCAAAAUCCAUGAAAUUUCAAAGCUCGUCAUUGCAUCUUUAACUCUAUUUAUUUCCUCUCUUGAUUCUCCAACUAGAGCUAUGACAUCGGUAUAAAAGAGGCAUCAUGGCAUCAAAUCUUUCAAUAUGCUCAAAACGCAUUCAAGAGUAAGGUAAAAGGAUAAGGGUUCAAAGUUGACCUUUGGUGCGAUGCUACAUAUCAUCUACACUUCCAUAUGGCUCCUAACUCACUUCUUCUAUUGCUCUUCACUGAAAGUUUUUUCUUCUUCUUUCUAUUCAAUUAUCACCACUUGAUCCUGUCUUGGCUUUUCCUUCUUACUCUCCUCUCAUCUCUUAUGGCUGUGAUCAAGAUUCAAUGUUGGGUACUCAAGCUCUCACUAGUUGUGACAUUGUAGUCCAUGCAAAGUUUUCUCUCUGAUUUCCUUAUGAAAAAUAAUAAUGAGAACAUAAUCAUCUUUAUUUGUUUCUACUUGAUCAUAAUCCCCAUUUAAAUCAAUGUAUCUUCUACAUUUCUAAAUGUGCUCAAUACACAGCCAUUUAGACCCUGUCUAAUUAUUUUUUUCUCCUAGUGGUAAUAUUACCUCUAAAGCUUCUAAAUCUUCCCAAAUUCUUAUGUCGUGGCACCCUUAUACUGGUAUAUAAGCAUUGAUCACAUUUAAAGCACCCCUUUCUUUUACAAAUUGGGUUAAAUAUGUUUUGUAAAAUGAGCACAUUUUAAUUUUUAUUUCUUGUGAAAGUUUUCCCUUGGACUUCAGCCGUUCAGAAUCUAAAAUUGAUACUUUUGAUCUCUAUUGUUAUAAACAUCAGUUAACCAUUUACAUGUUUAAUGGGAGGUUGCAUGUGGCAACCUAGGUGGCAUCCAAUAGUGUGUAUGUGAUGUCAUGUCAACACUUGACUCCCAAAAAUUAUUUUGGUCUCUAAAAUGAAUGGUAUUUAUUUUGUUCGUUCAUUUUAUAAGAACUUAACAUAUUUAGCCAUUACAAUUUAUAGAGCUAUGGUCUAUCUAUCUCCUAACCUAUGUACAUUCACAACAUAAUUUCUGAAUACUUAUAUAUAACUAAAUACUUCCCCCUUUGAUUUAAUUUUUACAACACACCACAACUAAAAGGAGUUUGUUUACCAUAUUUGCUCACAGAUGAACUAGGAAGUUUUAUGUGAUGAUGCAUCACGCUGUAAAGAUAUAGGAAACUGCUGUUACUGUAUUAAUUAAAUGCAUAAAACUUAUUCUGUAAUUUACGCUUUUCUUCCAUAAUUAGAGCAGUUACAGCUGUUGCCUUUCAUGAGCUGUGUUUGAGUUGUAGUUAUUCUCAGUUAUUUUUACUAGAAGAGUCUUGUACUUAUGCCUUUCUGUUACUAAUUCUUUGUACUUAAUUUCAACAGUUACAACAUAGAUGAGCAUGAUUAUUCAGUGCGUUUGAGAGCUGCACGGAAAUUUUUGAAAGACGGUGACAAGGUUGCAUGAAUUAUAUUGUCAUGUCAUAUUAAGCACGGUGUUCCUACACGUAUACUAAUGUAUUGAGAUCAUUGGGAUCCAUUCCUGCAGGUUAAGGUCAUAGUAAACCUUAAGGGUCGUGAAAAUGAAUUCAGGAAUAUUGCUAUUGAGCUUAUUACACGUUUUCAGAAUGAUGUUGGGGAGGUACGUCAUGUCACUUUCCCGUGAGUUAUACUUAUCAUAUAUUUAGGUAUUAAAAACCUGACUAUUUUCCAUACAAAACGAUACUGGUUACAAGAAAAAUAGAUCUUGAUGUGUUUGUUAUACUGGUAUUUUAUUGUGUUAUAGUCCCUAACUUAGCACACUUUAAUAAUUCUCAGGCACCACUACAUUUGCUAUUUCCGUUUGAUUUCUUUUGUGCAUUGGAUUUACUUUUAGUGAAUUCAUUCCAUAGUCUUCUGUCCCGAUAUCUAAUUUUAUGGUCAUUAGAGAUAUAUCCAUUUGAAUUUUAUAUCCGAAUCACACAUAUGUGCAGGUUGGACUAGAGGAGGCAAAAAACUUCCGUGACAGAAACAUCUUCAUAAUUUUGGUUCCAAACAAAGCUGCUGUACAGAAAACUCAAGAACCACCAAAGAAAAAAGACAAGUCCGCUAAAGAUGAAAUCUCCGCCAGUGUCCAAGCGUAACUGAAAACUUCCAAGCUAGUUUCUAAUUGUAGAAUGAAUUGAGUAACUUGUAUUGGUAUGAGUUGUAUGAUUUAUAAUUCAUGUGCAAUAAUAGCAUAUAAAUUCUCGAGGAUUUUAAUUAUAGAGGCAGCCUUGGCUUUUCGAACACAAGUUGCUCUGAAGGGAUACCAGUAUACCACUAACCGCUCUUCACAAGACUAAUCAUAAAAGGACAAUCGCAUGUGGGUAAUAUAUGCUCAUUUAAUUUUAGUUUGGCAGUAAUAUUUUUGCAUACUUGUGUUCCAAUUCAAUGCAUGUAAAGUUGGUGACAGGUGGAAGGGUGCAUACCCUGAUCAAGACAAGAAGCACAUGGUCCUAACAAACGAUUGAUUUGGAAGGAAGCCCGUCAAUUUUCGGGUUUGUUCCUGCCUAAUAUGGUUAAGCUAACGCUAAGUACCUCUUUUUGGAUCCUGCUUAUGUGUAGGUUCUGCCCUAACGCUUGUUAUUUUAACUAAAGAUGUAGAGGCUGCAACUUACGGACCUAACGAUUUGAAGGUAGCUUAGUUUUGAAGUGCUUACGUCCCAAGAAAACUAAAAUGUUCCACAUGUUUUUGCUCGCAUGAGUAAGCAGAACGUAGUCCACUCCUCCUGAAAGCAACAUCUUAUCCGGUGCCUUAUUUUAUUUUAUAAUAAUUUAAAUAUAUUUUAAGUUGAUAUAUAUUUUUAAACAAUAAUAAGAUGAAAUUUAUCUAUAUUUAUAGGUGACAUAAGAAAAAGGAGAGAGAAAGACAUCGUGUGAUACUUUGACAUAUUUUUUAUAAAUCGAAACACUAAAGCCAUUUGCAUUUAUUUUUUUAUUAAAAAAAUUACUAUUUGCUGAUGUUCUUCUAUUCUAUAAUCUUAAUUUUUUUAUUUCUAAAUAUUUAAGGUGGAUUAGGAUGAUUUGAGAUCAAAGUUUAAAGCUCAGAAAUUUACAUAGGAAAGUAUAAAAAUUUGAAAUUUUUUAUGCAAUGAAAUUAUGGUUUGAAGUGAAAAACAGAGAAUUUUUUAGUGCAAUUUGAUAUUUUGGCUGAUGAGGUUUAUCUGGGGAUUAACUUUACUUAAUUUCACAUAGACUUUGUUUAGCCCCAUAAAAUUGAAAGAUCAAAAAUCCCAAAAAGUCUAAAGUAGAGUGACUAAAAAUGUAAAUUAAGUCUAAGUAAUAUGUUGUGGUUUUCUUGAGGUGACGUGAAAUCUUCUCUAAUUGGAAUGUUAAGUGCACUUUGUAAUUGCAUUUUCCUAAAGAAGAUGCAAUUAAGCGAAAGUAAUGGAAAGUGUAUUUAAGGUAAGUCAAGUAACAUCCUUUGAUUUCUGGUCCAUUACGUGCCUAAUCUUCAGGGGAUAUUCAUAUAGUUUCUUAUAUAGAAAAGGCCUAUAGAUAAGUCGAUACUUCUCACCCAUUAUUAUCAAACAACCAAAAAUGUAAUGAGUUUAACUACUCUUGCAUUUCUGUAAAAAAAAAUAAAAAUGCUUAUGUAAUAACGUACACGUAAAGGGAUUGGCCUACUUUGAAAUUAUAAAGUGCUUUUACGAUAAUUCACAUCAAUUUUAUACUAUUAAAUAAUCAUAAGUAAUUGUCGACAUAACUUUUUAAUUAAAGAUUACAAAAACAACAAAUUUACCUUACAAUAUUUUAAUGUAAAAAAGUGUAACUCUUUUUGUGUGUGUAUAUAUAUAUAUAUACAUAGAUUGCGACAUUGUGUGGUUUGAGAUUGCAUUACCAUUUAUAUAGAGCUUUAUCAUAUUGCUAUUGGAUCGCCUUAUUAUAUUUUAGCUAAUGUAUUAUGUUAACAUGAUAUUCGAUAGCUUUUUAUUAAAUUUUUAACCAUUAUCUCGAAGAUAGUAAUUGAGAAGACCCUUAUCUUUAAAAUUCAGAUAAACAUGAUGUUACUUUGGCUAACAACCAUGAGAGAAUAAAAAACUAUUUUAAAGAACAUGUGGUUUCUCAUAAGUGUUUUUUUUAUGAAUAAAACAAUAUUUUAGUCCCCGAAAACAUAAAGUAUUGCCAUACAAAAAUUUCUUAAAAUCACGCCAAUUCAAAACAACUUUUUUAUCAUAUGAAAUAAGUUUUUAAGUUUAAUUACUUACUGUUAUUUUAAUUCUUGAAUAUAUAUAUAUAUAUAUAUAUAUAUAUUAUAUAUAUAUAUAUAUAUAUAUAUAUAUAUAUAUAUAUAUCAUUAAUUAUGAAUACAAGUUUUAAUUAUUUUAUUGGUACUUUUGUGCCACCUCCAAUUUUAUAGUUUUGUUGCUUAAAUUUAAAAUAAAAAAAUUAAAGCUGAAGCUAAUGCAUAAACUAGUAGUUACAUAUGAAAACGCCAUCCUUUCGCAUCUGACAGUUCUUGCCCAUUUCUUACGCUAUUUUUAUGAACAACAACAACAAAGAAACACAAAUCAAUUUAAAAACAAAUAAGAAAAUAAUACAGAGAACUGAUAUAAUAAAGGUAACAAACUUAUAUAAAUUAUUGUAUAUUUUCUUACUUUAUAAUUUCACUGUACGAACAUAAUAUUGUUUUUUUAAUUUCUAAUUUAGUCGAAUUAUCUAUAACUCUUUUCAAAACUUAAAGAACUUUUGGAUGAUUGAAAAAAAAAAAGAAAAUUUAGUGUAAUUUUUUUACCACCUUUGGCACUCCUUUUAAUUUAUACAUUAAAAGUAAAAUAUAAAGUCAUAGUAACAUAAUUCCUGAAAAGAAAAAAAAAAGAUAACUAUAAGCACAAAUUCAAAGGAGUGCAUGAAAAAUAAAGAAAGGAGAUUAUAUUAUGCAUGAACACCGUUAAUUUUAUGAUACUUUUUGAAGUUUUAUUUUAUAUUUCUCUCUUUUUUUUUUAUCUCUUAUUUGUAUAAAAAAGAUAUAUAGCUUUUUUCUUACAACUACAAUUUCUAAUUAAUAAAAAGAUUCUCAUUUCACAAAUAUAGAGUAAUUAAGAACAAAACAUCCUAUAUGAAAAAGAAUGAGGAAAGAAAGGUACGUAUGUAUGUAUAUACAUCUGACCAACGUGUAGUCAUUGUUGAUGAUUGCAUGAAGGAGAUGGUGGUUGAAAAAAAACAAAAGGAAGAAGCUUAACUUCAAGGCAAUGGAGACCCUGCAACCAACAACAUCCACAUAUUAGGUGAACACACCAAAACCUGCAAGCCUCAGUGUUCCUUCAUAAACAUAAACUUUGCUCUCAAUUUCACCACUCACUAUUUUUUUGUUGUGUUGUGUCACAUUGUUGUCCCAUUCAUCAGUCACCACCGCCAACAUGGAAGCCAGCGCUGGACUGGUCGCUGGUUCUCACAAUAGGAACGAACUCGUUGUCAUUCAUGGCCAUGAAGAGGUAAUCACUAAGCAUGCAUGAAAGAUACUUGCAGAAAGUUAUUGAUUAAUUUAUAUUGUUGUGUGGUUUUGGUGCAGCACAAGCCUUUGAAGAACUUGGAUGGGCAAGUGUGUGAGAUAUGCGGCGAUGAUGUGGGAGUGACGGUGGAUGGAGAUUUGUUUGUGGCAUGCAAUGAGUGUGGUUUUCCGGCAUGCCGACCGUGCUAUGAGUAUGAAAGAAGAGAAGGGAGACAAGUUUGUCCACAGUGCAAGACCAGAUACAAGCGUCUUAAAGGUACAUAACUUUUACUCAUCUUUCAAACGCCAUUAAAAAACUUCUUUGCAUACUUCUUACAAGUAUUUCAGAAAAAUUAUCAAAAUAAAUAACUUAAAUAUGAAGUAAAAGUAUUCAAUAUACUAAAUGUCAAUUUCUGAUUAAUGUAAUCUAUAAAUUAAUUGCUAAAGGAAAAUUAGGAAUGAGGGCUUGUGAUUUUGGCCAGCAUAUAUGACUGAGAAGAAUAAUAUAAGUAUAAAUAAGAGUUUUAGAAUAUAUGCUGUUGAGACAACACUGUUGAAUCAAUCAAUGGUUUAAUUACGAAAAAGUGUCUUGGAAAGUUAAGAGAUUAUGGUGUAUUUUAAGUUGUUCUUAGACUUCCCUCAUAAAUGAAACUAUUAAACAUACAGAAACACACAUAUAUACACAUUAAAAAUAUUGAGCUUCUUUUCAAUGGAUGAUCAAAGGAUUUAGUUGUUAGUACUUGUAGUUAGCUAAUAGUAGCAUUUGGUUUUGUUGUGAUUUUGGUAAUUAAGGGAGCCCGCGGGUUGAGGGAGAUGAUGAUGAGGAAGACGUGGAUGAUAUCGAGCACGAAUUCAACAUCGAUGACCAAAUGAACAAGCAUAAUCACUCUGCCGAGGCCAUGCUGCAUGGGAAGAUGAGCUACGGAAGAGGUCCAGAAGAUGAGGAGAAUUCUCAAUUCCCAGCUGUUAUUGCCGGUGGCCGUUCUCGCCCUGUAAGAUUUCCAAAUCAUUACUUCAUCUUACUCUACAAAACUUUCCCAUGUUCAAUAGACUUACGAUAAUUUUGCAUGUAUUUACCAAAAAAAUCUUAUAUUAACUUUGCAUGCAUGCAGGUUAGUGGAGAGUUGCCAAUAUCAUCUCAUUAUGGGGAGCACCCUUCACUGCAUAAUCGUGUGCAUCCUUAUCCGGCAUCUGAUCCUAGUAAGAUAUGUGGCUUAUAGUCUUAGCUUUUAGACAUUGAUGAGAUUGAUUGAAAGAAGUUAAUAGCUUUCUUUUAGAAUUUUCUUGGUACACUUCUGGAACUUAUUUUCAUUAGUAUACUUCAACACGGUUAAAUUUUUGUUCACAAUAUGUGGCCUGCUGUUAUCGAAGCAGGAAAUGGAAGAUGGGAUGAAACCAAAGAUGAUAGAAUGGAUGACUGGAAGUUGCAACAAGGAAAUUUGGGACCUGAACCUGAUGAAGAUCCAGAUGCAGCCAUGUAUGCUUACAGUGCUACAAUUAGGAAACUGUGAUGCAUUAAUUUUGAUGAAUAGUAAUGAUGGGAAGAAAUUAACUGUGCAGGUUGGAUGAAGCAAGGCAACCACUGUCAAGGAAGGUACCAAUAGCAUCCAGCAAAGUGAAUCCAUAUAGAAUGGUGAUUGUCGCACGGCUUGUUAUCCUUGCCUUCUUCCUCCGAUAUAGACUGAUGAAUCCUGUACAUGAUGCAUUGGGGCUGUGGUUAACAUCUAUUAUAUGUGAAAUCUGGUUUGCUUUUUCAUGGAUCCUUGAUCAGUUUCCCAAAUGGUUUCCCAUUGAUCGAGAGACCUACCUUGAUCGUCUUUCAGUAAGGUAAAAUAAGCCACCUUCACUCUGAAGUCAACAUGAAAUCCAAAACCUCCAACUUACAUGGCUGACAAAAAAAUUGUUUGUUAGGUAUGAGCGUGAAGGUGAACCAAACAUGCUUGCUCCUGUAGAUGUCUUUGUCAGUACUGUGGAUCCCAUGAAGGAACCUCCACUGGUUACAGCAAACACUGUUCUCUCAAUCUUGGCCAUGGAUUACCCGGUUGAGAAGAUAUCAUGUUACAUUUCUGAUGAUGGAGCUUCAAUGUGUACUUUUGAGGCCCUGUCAGAAACUGCAGAGUUUGCUAGGAAGUGGGUACCAUUCUGCAAGAAAUUUUCUAUCGAACCUCGAGCACCAGAGAUGUACUUCUGUGAGAAAAUUGAUUACCUCAAGGACAAGGUGCAGCCCACCUUUGUUAAGGAGCGUCGAGCUAUGAAGGUUUGUAUCAUAUCUAUCAGACUCGUACUUGAAAAUAUGGGAUUAGAAGUUAGUUUAAAGUUUAUUCACUGUUAUUUGUGUGUUUGACAGAGAGAAUAUGAAGAGUUUAAGGUUAGGAUCAAUGCACUUGUGGCAAAAGCUCAAAAGGUUCCACAGGGAGGAUGGAUUAUGCAGGAUGGAACACCAUGGCCAGGAAACAAUACCAAGGAUCAUCCUGGUAUGAUUCAAGUCUUUCUUGGUCACAGUGGAGGUCAUGACACUGAAGGAAAUGAGCUUCCUCGUCUUGUUUAUGUUUCCAGAGAGAAAAGGCCAGGAUUCCAACACCACAAGAAAGCUGGGGCUAUGAAUGCUUUGGUAAAGCUUUUUUAUCAGUUUUUGCUGUUCUUAUGAUGUCCAUUCACCUUUAUGAGCCACAAAUACUUGACUUUUAAAAUUAAUGCUGCAAUUUACAGAUUCGGGUCUCUGCUGUGCUAACGAAUGCUCCUUUCAUGCUGAAUUUGGAUUGUGAUCAUUAUGUCAAUAACAGCAAAGCUGCUAGAGAGGCCAUGUGUUUCUUAAUGGACCCCCAAACUGGGAAGAAGGUCUGCUAUGUCCAGUUUCCUCAAAGAUUUGAUGGCAUUGAUAGGCACGAUCGUUAUGCCAAUAGGAACACAGUUUUCUUUGAUGUAAGUUCUGCAAGAAACAUAACAUCAGCAUGGCUUGGCCUUUUCUUGAGCACUUAUUUUUUUCAUUCUUACUCUUUUGUUAAGUAGUGUAAGCUAGUAUUAACCAUUUCCACUUCUUUCUGUUUCUGUGCAGAUAAAUAUGAAGGGUCUAGAUGGUAUUCAGGGUCCUGCAUAUGUUGGCACUGGGUGUGUAUUUAGGAGACAAGCUUUAUAUGGUUAUAAUCCUCCUAAGGGUGCCAAACGUCCAAAAAUGAUAAGCUGUGACUGCUGCCCAUGUUUUGGAAAGCGCAAGAAGGUUAAGUAUGAAGGGAAUGGUGUAGAUGGAGGCGAGGCUGCAACCCUAAGAGGUUCUAAUAUUUCUGAUCACUAAUGUUGACAGUAACUUCAAUUCAAAUAUAUUUCACUUUUACCUUUUCUAACCCAUGUCCCAUCCCACGUCUAAAUAGGACCAGAUGAUGAUAAACAGAUGUUGAUGUCCCAGAUGAAUUUUGAGAAGAAAUUUGGCCAGUCAUCUAUCUUUGUGACUUCAACCUUGAUGGAAGAGGGUGGUGUGCCUCCUUCCUCAAGUCCAGCAAGCCAGCUUAAAGAAGCCAUUCACGUGAUCAGCUGCGGAUACGAAGAUAAAACUGAAUGGGGAAUUGAGGUAACACAAACAGCCUAGAGACUCCUUGAUAUCUUACCAUAUUUUGUUCACACUAUGAAAAUCAGCUCAUCCAUGUUAUUUUGCUUUCCAAAUAUGCAGCUGGGUUGGAUUUAUGGGUCUAUUACAGAGGAUAUUCUAACAGGUUUUAAGAUGCAUUGCCGUGGUUGGAGGUCCAUUUAUUGCAUGCCUAAGCGACCUGCAUUCAAGGGUACUGCUCCUAUCAACUUGUCUGAUAGGCUUAACCAGGUGCUUCGUUGGGCACUUGGCUCCAUUGAAAUCUUCUUCAGUCGCCAUUGUCCUUUAUGGUAUGGCUAUAAGGAAGGGAAGUUGAAGUGGCUUGAGCGAUUUGCAUAUGCAAACACAACUGUCUACCCCUUCACCUCCAUACCUCUAGUCGCCUACUGUGUCCUUCCUGCUGUCUGUUUGCUCACUGAUAAAUUCAUCAUGCCACCGGUAACAACGUCAUUCUAAUUCUCACAUGCUGAAAAAUUAGUUAGUCAUGCCAUGCUUUUGAAAUUAUAGAAUUUCAAAUUUCCUUAAUGUUGCCUUAAAAACCUGAAUUCUCACGACUUUCGUAUGUAGAGCAGGACUUAAAUCUAUAAUUAUAGAAUGGGUGCCAAGCUUAUUUGCUUAUAAAGAUAUCUUUUGGUUGCUGAUGAUACAGAUAAGCACUUUUGCCGGUUUGUACUUCGUUGCUCUAUUCUCUUCAAUCAUUGCAACUGGCCUUCUUGAGUUGAAAUGGAGUGGAGUGAGCAUUGAGGAAUGGUGGAGAAAUGAGCAAUUCUGGGUCAUUGGUGGUGUGUCAGCUCACCUCUUUGCUGUCAUACAAGGUCUUCUGAAGGUUUUGGCCGGAAUUGACACCAACUUCACUGUUACAUCAAAGGCAGCGGAUGAUGAAGAAUUUGGAGAAUUAUACACCUUUAAGUGGACUACUCUCCUGAUUCCUCCAACCACUAUCCUAAUAAUCAAUAUUGUUGGCGUUGUUGCUGGAAUCUCAGAUGCCAUAAACAAUGGGUACCAAUCCUGGGGACCUCUAUUUGGAAAACUGUUCUUCUCAUUUUGGGUGAUUGUCCAUCUGUAUCCAUUCCUUAAAGGUUUGAUGGGUCGCCAAAACCGCACACCCACCAUAGUUGUUAUAUGGUCGAUACUAUUGGCUUCCAUUUUCUCCUUGCUUUGGGUAAGAAUUGACCCAUUCGUAUUAAAAACUAAGGGACCUGAUACCAAGCUAUGUGGAAUCAACUGUUAAAAGACUGGUUUUCCUACACUAUCCUUUAGAGGGCAUCUUUUGAAGAUGAAUGUAAAUUCUUUGUUGUGCUGUAUGAUGCGUGAACCUACAAACUUUACAUGUACAAGGACUAAAAAAAAAGAGUGAAAAUUGGCUAGUGCAAAUGCAGUUUUCUCAUCAGUGUAAUCUAUUGGAUGUUUGUUAGCAAUUGUUUUGGCUCCAUUUGCCCGAGGAUUGGAAAGUAAAUCAGAGUUACAGGUUUACAUAGUUAAUGUUCUAUCGGAGGCAUCUAGCACAUUACGUCUAAUCCAAAAUGAUGCAUAAAAGCUGUGCAUAAUUAUUUGACCUACCGAAGGACAAUAUGCUAGCCGACUUAAAUCAUUGAUAGUCUUUAAACCAGGAAGCAAGAGCAGCAGCAUUCUCUUGCUAGGAGAAGUAAAUGAAAAGAAAAGGAGAGAGAAGUGUACGAACACUUAUUAUUUGCAUAUUCUCCAUGAAACAGACAGUCUCAAAAUUGGAUGAAACGACAGGAUUGCAUUCAGGUCUCCCACAUUUCUCUUUCAACAGUGAUCCAAAAGCAGUUACUUCCAUGUUUAGUUAAAGUUAAAAUAAGCUUGGUGGUAAAAGUGAAAGGGAGCAAGGGCCAGCAUGGGUUUAAGUUCAAAAAUUAACAUAUUAACGCUAACACGAACUUUCAUAUUUGAUGUUUCUAAAAAUUACAAGCACGGGAAUUGACACCAAGAUACCUAAUGUUAAAAUGCAUAAUAAACAAAUUUAGGAACAAAAGUGCUACAUGUGAUGCUUUGAUGUUUGAUUCAAAGGCGAGGAGAGAAAGGAAGGAGCGCUUCCCCCUUGUUUGGUUUGGUCGAAGACAGGGGAGUCUCCAUGGCAAGGGAAGAGAGAGAAAACAAUUGUACCAUGUUGUGCCUUUAUAAGAAUUAUUGGAAAGGAGAGGACAAACCUCAUGAAUAAUUUAAUCAACACGUUCCAAAAAUUAAAAAACAACUCCCCUCCAACACUUAAAGGGGAGACAAAAAUGGGAAGGGUGGGAUUUUAGCCCCGUCAUCUCUAAAAUAAAAAGAAAAAAGAAAAAUCAUCCAUGUCCUCCUUCCUUCGCUUUGUUUUCCUUUGAGCCAAACACAUACAUUAAUUCAUUAUUACUUCACAUUUAUUCACAAUCAACACUUUAAACAGCACAUAAAGUUUUUUAACUGCGAUCUACAGAAGAUACUUACUAAAGCACCACAAAAAGGAACAGCAUAACAAAAAUACUGAGAGAACUUGAUAGAGGCAAAGAAACUUUCUCACUUGUGGAAAGAAUUUAAAUUUGAAAAGGUUAAUUAACAGCCCUGCAGUUGCGGCUGGGGCUGGGCUGUGCCUGCAGUUGGGGCUGGGGCUGGGGCUGAGCUGUGGCUGAGGCUGAGACUGGGCUGGGGCUAGGGCUAGGGCUGUGGCUGAGGCUGGGCUGGGGCUGGGGCAAGGGCUGGGCUGGGGCUGGGUUGUGGCUGGGCUGGGCUGUGGCUGGGGGAGUGGCUGAGGCUCGGGCUGGGCUUGUGACCGUGACUGUGACUUUGGAGGGUACUGUGGCAGGGCUAAUUUGGCAAAAAGAGAUGUGACCUGCAUGGACAAAAGAAUGUAUAAUUCAAGGAGUUUCUUGACUUAAGUUAACUGGUUUGUAUGAUUUUGAAAGAGAGGACAGUAGAGAUACACGCAUCUAAUUUAAAGAGUGCAAGAAUUCGGAUACCAUUUGGUUGGACUUACUAUAAAAAACUCCAUUCAACCAAUUCUGUGAUGUUUUUCGCUUCUCAAGUGGAUGACCACAAGAGGAUUUAGACUCCGGAUAUAUGUUGUUGUAAGGUAAAGAAUAUGAAACCAAAAGUUUGGAUUAUGAUGCAUCUGUCAAAUGUAACUUACUGAAAAAAUAUUUGCUCAGCUUCACCAAUAAUCACCACAAGAACAGGUCCCAUCUUUGAAAUGGUGGAAUCUGUUGGCAUCCCUAACUACAAUUACUCUUUCUGUGAUCUUUGAAAUAAACUUAGUAGCAGUGUGACAAUCUAAACAAACCCGAAGAUUCUUGAUUAUCCUGAUCUCAGUACCAGGUUCAGAGGUAAUAAGGCCAAAAGCAAUAGCUAGUUUCUCACUAUGAACAUUAAACAUGAGUUCCUUUUCUUCUUCUUCCACAUCAUGCAAAGCAGUAACUGUCUCCGGCUUAUACCCCAUCUCUCUCAUCUUACUCGUUAACUUCUCCAGCUUUGCAUAGAUAGCUACUGCUUGAGAAUGAGAACGAUCACCCGAUACGAAGACAUGUGGGGACCCAUUAACCUCAAUUAGAGUGCACCCUGGAGUCUUUGAUAGUUUUCUUUUUUUAACUACUUCCCUUACUGAAGCAGCCUUUGGGAAGUUUCUCUCUGCAGAGUAUAUAUUAGAAAGUAAGACAUAGUAUCCUACACUCCCUGGAUCCAGUUCAAAUAGCCUUUCUGAAGCCACACGGGCUAUUUUCGUGUCUUUAUGAAUCAUGCAAGCACCGAGUAAUGUACCCCAUACUGCAGGUCCUGGUUCAACAGGCAUUCUCCUUACAAAUUCUAAGGCUUUUUGUAACUGUCCAGCUCGUCCCAAAAUAUCCACCAUGCAUGCAUAGUGCUCAGCUAAGGGCACAAUCCUGUAUUUAUUAACCAUAGCAUUAAAUAUUUCAUCUCCUUCUCUUACCAAGCCAGCAUGACUGCAAGCAUAUAAGACUGAAAGAAAAGUAACACUUGAUGGCUGAAAUCCCAAUUCCAGCAUCUCAUUAAAAAGCUGAAGUGCUUCAUGCCCGUAUCCAUGAAGCCCAUAACCAAAAAUCAUAGUAUUCCAAGUGACGGUAUUCUUUUCACUCAUCGACUCAAAUAAUUGCCAAGCCUCCAAAAUAUUCCCACACUUGGCAUACAUGUCAAUCAGAGCAGUCAAAACAUAAAUGUUUGGCUCAAGGUUUUUGCUUCUAAUCAACUGAUGAACCCAUUUACCAAAACUCAGCGCUCCUAAUUGAGCACAAGCUGAAAGAAUACUCGUGAUGGUGACUGGAUUCGGAAUAAAAUCAGUCGCCAUCAUCUCCUGAAAAAGAGAGAUAGCAGUCUCCGUUAAACCAUUCUGUGUAUAACCUGAAAUCAUAGCAUUCCAAGCAGCCACGGUUUUCUCCGAUGAUUCGUCAAACAACCGCCGUGCCAAAUCUAUUUCAUUGAGCCUGCUGUAUAUAGUCGUGAGUGCAGUUGAAACCAAAGGAUGCAAAAUAAAACCGGACUUCACACAAAACCCCUGAAUACAGCAAGCCAAAUGCAAAUGCCCAAAGGGAGAAGACACAGGAAUCAACCCAACCAUUGUGCUAGAACUCACUCUCUCCCCAGAAACAAGCAAUUCUCUAAAAAGCUUCACCCCACACUCAGUCUCACCAUUACAACUAAACCCAGAAAUCAUGGCAUUGUAAGAAACCAAAUCCGGCUUCUUAAUCAUCCCAAACAAUAACUUGGCCGUGUCAACAUCCCCACAUUUUGAAAAAACCGAAAUCAAACCCGUUAACACGUAGUCAUCAAAAUGAAAUCCAAGUUUCAAAGCCAAACACUGAAUCCCCAUCCCAACUUUCCCCUCUUGCAUCUCUGCAACAGCCGGAAGCACAGUAGCCACCGUGGUGGAAUCCAACUGCACCUUUUGCGCCACCAUGUCCCGAAACACUUGAACAGAAUCAUCAUAACAACAGUUCCUCACCAAUCCAGUAAUCAUGGUGUUCCACAACACGGUGUCUCUGUCAGGUAUUUUAUCAAAUACCUUCCUGGCAUACCCCACACGAGAAAACUUACAGUACACGUCAACGAGCGCGGAGGCCACAAAGAGAUUCGAGGCGAAGCCGUCGAUGACGGCAUGCGUGUGCAAGCACAUGCCGAGCUUGUCGUCGGGGCAAGCGGCGACGGCGAAGGCAUAGGUGAAGUUAUCUGGGGAGAGGCUGGUGUUUUUGCGGAGAUGGGUGUAGAGGGAAACGGAUGAAGCGUUGGGGAAGAAGGAGAAGCCUUUGAUGACGACGUUGAAGAGGAAGAUGUCAGGCUUGGGAACCGAGAAGAAGAGGGCACGUGCGUGGUGCGCGGCGCCUACGUCAAAGAGCUUCUGGGUGAGCUUGGUAACGGUGGCGAGGUCGUGGUGGUAACCGUUGCGGAUGAGCUGCGCGUGGGUUUCGGCAAGGUGCGGGAAGGUGCAAGCUUUGUUGAUGAGGGCGAGGAGCGUGUUGCGGCUAAUGUCCCCACGAAGCAUCUGAAUGCAACACACCGCCGCUGAGCACAAGAUCAUACAUACGGUUUGGUAACUGAGUUAAGUCUCAAAGUUAACUAAAUUUACUUAAUUAAGAGUUUCGUUGGUAUAAAUUAAAAAUAACAACAAAUAACUUAUCUAUUUAAAUAAUUUUAUUAAAUCAAUCCCAUUCUUAUUAAUAUAUUAAUUUUAUAUGCUGCAAAUAUGAAUAUUAAUGCAGUUUAUUUGAGUAUAAAUUAUGACUAAAUAUAUUUAAAAUAUUAUAUAAUUUGAAAAAAAAAAUAACUAAAAUUAUGACACUUUAAUUCAUAUGUAGUGGUUUAAAAAAAUUAAAAAUUAAAACUCAAAUGAUAAAAACAGAGUUGAUUGGAAUAGACUAAUAUGUCAUGCCGCAUCUUAAAAUCAAAUCUUAAGUUUAAAACUUUAAAGUCUUAUUGUAUUUUUUUUUUUGUUUAUAUGGAGUAAUAUGGCGAGCAACAUCCAACUUUAUUAAAAAUGAUAUCAUAUAGCUAUAAUCAUUUAAAAAAAUAAAAAAUAAAACUUGUUAAUUUCUUGUAAGAAUCUCCUAGAUUCUAAGUUUACUAAUUACAAAAUUACUUAGUAUUAUAUCAUUUAGUUCAGUCUCAGUUAAAAAUUCUAUAAUAGUAGUGUACUUGAAAUAUAUAUGGAAGAACAUUUGUCUGGUUAACUAAUGAGUGUUUUUAAUGUCUGAUUCUUGGCUCAUUGGGAUGCAGUAAAAUUAAAUCUGGAAAGAAUGCUGUGCUCCUUCCAUUUGUAUUUUCUUUUCAUCUGCUUGAUACGAGGCUUGUGCUACCAGUGUUGACAAGAAAGGCAAAAAUGAAGACGAUGGAAGAAUAUAAAUUGCCGGGGGAGGGGGAGAAGCCUAAUACAAAAAUUUACAAUGGUAAAGAAUCCUGGGUGUUGAUUCCUUAUGUUUCAGCCGAACAUUCCCAAGAAUCUUUAAAACAUUCUUGUAACGUCUCAGAAAUUAUAGUUUCCGAGCAUUUGGCUGCAGCUGCAAGAGAGUUCUUGUUAGCAUAGAAGCAGGAAGAGUCUGGCGUGUUUGAAUUUCCCAGAUUGUUUACUUAUGCACCAUAAAAGCUUGCUUGAUCUGCAUGAGAUGCGUCCGAAGGCUAUAUUCCUCAACCUGUUUACGCCAAAAUAAUAAUGAAAUUAAGAGAUAAACUUUUGACCUUUAGAAGCAUCGUGAAAUGCUCAACUUUCCUCAACGACUAAAUCAUUAUUUCAGUCAAUUCAGUGAAUAUAAGCUACUUAUAGCUCAAAAACAGGAAAACACUAAGGCCGCAAUUUCCACUGUUCUUGUGCUGCUGACAGUGACAAUAUCAUAUUAAAAGCAGCGACUAGACCAGUUAAUAAAGAUAGACAAGGAAGGCCCCGACAUAUCAAAAGCAGCGACUAAGUAGCAAAAAUUGCACUGAUUCACGACCAGCCUAGAUUCUUGUAGAUCAAGAAUGCUAGAAUAGUUCUCUAACCACGCAUGGCUCCUGACGUUGAAUCCCCGUAAGAGGUAAAAUAAAAUCAAACAUAAUGUAAAUUGUGAUACAUGCAAAUGAAAUUUUUUUCCAACUAAUCUUUGCUCGUUCGUAAUAAAAAAUGGAGAGAUCCGUUGUGCAUAAUUCUUAAAACAUAUAUCACGACUCUUACCUGCAUAGCAGUUGCAAAAUUCAGUAGGGCUUCACAUUCAUCAAGCAUCGCUUUUUCCUGUGCUGAUACAACAGCAACUUCAGCAAUUAAAUUAUUCAUGCCGUCCACCUACACAGACAAUAAAAAACAUGGUGUCGACCUUUAUGCACUAUGAAUUUACCAUUGAGUCCAAAAUGGAAAUGGUUUAGGAAGGAAAACAUAAAAUCAGAAACAGAAAGAAAGUUUGAUAGUAAAUUUGUUGGGGCAAUAAAAUAGCACGACCUAGGUGAUAUAAAGUGAGUGAAACCAGUAGAACUCAUAAACAAAUAUCUCACCCUUGAGAGUAAAGGGCAAAUAGCAGAUCCCAUUGCUUGCAUGGCAUCAACAGCCGAACAGAUUGCAAGCUUCAAAUGUUCAAUAUCUGCCUGUAAAAGUGCACACAUGGUAAUGAAUGCCAGUGUCUCUUUGCAGGCAUCAACCAAGAGACAAAAACCAUGCAUACCUUUGCCCCUCCAGUUAGAGGAAGACGAAGAGUACUUGCCUCCAAGUCUUCUACAGUUCCGGAUAAAGCAUUAAUAUGACCACUUUCAAGUACAGCCCAGUCAUCAAGGUAGGCCAUCUGCUUCAUUAAUUGUAAAAGGACCACAAUCAAAAAAAGUAUCACAAAGUAUCUAAAGAAAGUCGAAACAUUUAAAUAGGGAAAUAGCAUCACAUAUGUAUUGUAAUCAUUAAAAUCAGCCAUUAAUACGAAUUAUGAAUAACCUGUUACGACAGACUAGCAUAGACCAUUUAAACCUAACUUUUCAAUGUGGUGUAGGGCCAACAUCUUGCUGCGUAUAUUAGCGUCAUUUAUAAUCUCCACAAUAAUUAUCUCAACUUUAAUUACCAAAACCAGAAAUCCGGAAAAAAUUGUAAUUUAUCAUCCACUAUAAUAUGGGCACAUAGCAAUGAUAAAUAUUUCAGGUAAGAGAGAAGUAUUACUUGAUCAUUCAAAAUAGAAUUCAGCUUCAGCUCAAGCUGCAGCUGCUGGAGGUUGAUCCUCUUCCUAAUAAUUGUUUCCCAUAUAGACAGAGUAGUGUGCCAUACGUUGUACAGUGAUUUCUGAACCAUAUGGGCAAGUUUUUGUAAAAUGACGUUGGGAAAUCAUUUGUUAUACACAAACUUCUGCAAAGCAGAAGAAUUACACUAAAAGAAUAAGCCAGCUUGAAAGACCGUAAGUCAUACCUCCGCUUUUGCAUUUUGGAUGUAAAACACAUCCUCUGCUUGCGCAUUGAUAAAUCUCCAUUGCAAGUACCUGUUGUAGAGAAGUCUCAACUGGUGAGCAUCUUCUACGAGGGCUGCACCCUUUUUCCCCUUUUUAAAAUCAGCAAUAAAGCUGAGUACUGAAAUUGAAUUGUUGGAUUGGUUGGAUGAAUUGGCUGGCCUUAUUCUAGAAGGACUAACCCCUCUAGGAGGAGUCGAAGGCCUUGACCGAGAAGGACUAACAACACCUCUUGAACUAGAAGAGGAUAACACUGAAGUCUUACUUGGUGAUGGGUGCCCUGAUACUGGAUUAGGCAAGAACUGUGAUCUGACUCCAGUAACUGUUAAUCCCGUUUUAUCCAAUGUAAUUGCAGGAACAAAUUUAUGAGGUCUUAACACAUGAACAUUGUCAUCGAUUGGUCUCACCUCGCCUCCCAUUCUACCACUUUCAACUAGAAACAUUAGUCUUGAAGCAUCACUAGAAGCUUUCCGCAAGGGCUUACUAGCAUCACCUGGUAAAGACAAUCUUCUCAGAGAAGACACACUAGUUCCUGGAACUGAAGAGUUCAACGUUCUGGUUGUCUUAUCAGUAUGAUCAAUACUUCUACUUGAUGCACUAGAACAUACCUUCCCACUGAUUCUGCCUGGCCACCGGUGCUGAUCUAUCAACCGGGAAUGCAAGCCAUCAUCAGGUUUCGAAUUCUCUGUCUGAUUCGAAGCAUUAUUCCCUUUGAGAGGACUCCUCUUCCUCUCUGGCGUGGGCUUUCUUACAAUUGGUGUUUGAACCUGCUUGUGAGUCACGUUUGAAUUCGGCCGAAGUGUACGAUCAACGGCACUGGUCACCGGCUUCUCCUUCUUGAUAACAGGUAUGGAAAUAGUAUCGGACUGGAAAGAAACACUCAAACUCCGCAUUGUGGAUGGCCAAAGCGCCUCUGGCAUUCUGCUACCAGCCGCCCUUCUCGACGAUAAAUUCACAUCCAUCGAUGAGUCUUGGACGGGUGUAGAAGGACGUGGUGGGGAAGGUGGAGUCGCUGGCCUCUUCCUCUCUGUAGAUUGAGCUCUUUUGGGUAACAAUUUGGAUGAUGCCGGUGUUGUCGGCCUUGUGAGGCUUGGAGAGGGACAUCGCCGAGAACCAGAUGGGGUUGCCCGAGUAGGAGAAGGUGACCUGUACCGUGAAGUAAUUUCCCUUGUUGCCAAGCGUCUGGAGGUGAUUGCAUUAUUUUUUUCAGCAAGACCCAAGGGUUGUCUUGUUCCUGUUCUGUGUUUCCUUAAUGCUUGCUCUGACUCGCAUACAUCCAUCCACUCUAUCCCAAUUAGACCACAUUGAUGGAAAUUUCCAUAAAGCUAAACCAAACUUAGCAGCUUUGGCUCUUUGGCAAUCAUGUGUGCACUCGAUGGAAUAAGUGAAAUGCACAGGUUAUCCAGAAAGAAGAUCCUUUUCCCUGCAAUAAAUCUGCCACAAAUGAAAAUAAAGUAAAGAUACUACAGAGUGGGAAACUAAAGAAAAGCAAAGAAUAAACCCACCCACAAUCAGAAAAGGAAAAGGGAGAAUAAGAAAAGCGCACAUCUUUACAGAGACUCAGAUCUGCUGGGCAAGGAAUUUGAGAAUCACAGGCAAUAAACGCAAGUGGGUAUGUUUUAUUCACACAAAAAGGCCCGAAUCCAACAAGAUCAUGACAGAGCAAGAAGAAUAUGGAGAGGGGAAACAACAUUUGGUGUAACGGGUGAGAGAAACUCGCGGAAACUGUCUCAACGUACAUUUAACGUUUUAUCAUGAAAACGUUGCUAGUUUACGGUUAACUGAAGAAAAAAAAAAGGUUUAAUUGGCGGGGAAGGGGGUCCCUCGGAAAUUGGGAUACUGGGAAGUGGAAUCCAUGGAAUGAAUAAUAGAGGGCGCAGGAUAAGAAGGCGGAAGUGCGUAGGCUAAGAGAAGAAGAGAGGCUUUAAUUUUCCCCCUUUUGUCUCUCUCACGAGAAUGCCAUGGUCGGGUGGGCUGGCAAUGGGUUCACUCCACAUAAACCCACUCUGUCCUAUAACUUCUUCUCUCUCAACUCCUUUUCAUGAAAGGGAAUUCAAUGAAAGUGAUGCCAUAACCUGCAUGCCCAAAAAGAAGAAAAAAGGUAUCUAAUAUCUCUUACAAUACAACACUCUCUCCCUCUUCCCAAACACACACAGACACAAGUUAAACUUAAAAGAAGGCUGAGUUACCAUAACAUACAAUAAUACUAACACAACUGGGUCAUGAGUUUCCUCUAUUAAAAUACACAGACAGAAUUUUCAAUGGAGCCUCUUUUGUUUUGUAUGCUACACAGAAUAUGAAAUAUAUUACCUUACUUUAACUAAAGUUUGAACUCAAUGGUGGUGUUGUUGUUCGGGAGAUAGGUAAAGACAAGAGGUCCACGUGCAGGGACGAUCAUUGUCCAUCCCCAUAAAACUAUUGUGAAAACCUAACAUGAUUCAGAGACAUUGUUUCCUGCAAUUUCAUUAAAUAAAUAAAUUAUAAUAUUUAAUGGACUAGUAGUAGCAGUAGUAAUUAGGAUUUUGACUGGUGUGAAGGAAUAUCACUGAUAAAAUCAAGGGAAGGAAAGAAAAAACCUUUUUACCUGAAAGAAACAAACGGUUCUGAACACAGAUCCAUGACAGAUGUAUGGAUUGGCAGGUUCGUGUCUCGCUCACUGAAGACACGUUUAAGUGUUUCACUGUUCAUGUAGCCGCACAGAAACAAUGCUAGUACUAGAGUCUAUUCAAUGAUCCUUAUUCCCAAAUUCCUCCUUCAAUCUACAAAAACGAGUUGCAAGUUUCGAAAAAAUCCAACAGCAUUAAAAUAUAUCAAAAAUUAAAUUUACUCAUCGUAAACAAAUUUCUAACCGCAUAGUGUAAAAUUUAGUCAUAACCUAACUGACUAUAUUACCACAAUUUACAAAGAGUUUCUUACCUUCCUUUUACCUGUAAAUAGAAACCCGGUUACAAAGAAGACUCAGAUUCCGGUCACCGGAGAUGGCAGUUUCGUGAUUUUAAAGCAGAAAGCGAAAGCGAGUUAAAAAGUAAAUAGAAACAACGAUUUCGUGUUACCCGAAAAGGUUUUAAUUAAAAUAAAUAUAAAAAUUAAAAAGAAUACGAGAAAACGGUUUCAGUUAGGAAAAAGGAGGGAGAGGUAGGGACGGUUGUUUUCGCGCCACCUACUUUUAAUUGUUCUUGCCUCUUGAUCCUUAUGCCGUAAUUAUCGUUAUAUUUUUUUAUUAUAUUUUAACAUUAUUUUAUAUAACUAAACUCCUAUUAUUUUAUUCUUUAAAUAAAAGGUACGAACAUGUUGUGUGUAAUUGCUUACAUUGUUAACCAUUCUAAGGAUGCCUUGUCAAUUACAUCUCUAUCGAAAAUUGACUAUUAUUUUUAUAAUAAAAAAAUUGACAAAUAUCUUCGGUAUCAUUUUCCUUUUUCUAAACAUUAUUUGCUUCGAAAGCUUAUGAUCGAGUACGUUCUUUAUUUAUACGAUUUAAUCAAUUACUUGUUUCACCUACGACCCUUUUUCUUAAAAAUAAAAUAAAAUAAAGGGUUUGCUUUUAAUUUUAAUUAUUCACUUGGCUUUCAUUGGAUAUAAAUAUUACUAGAUGACAAUAAUUCUGUCUAAUGACAUGAUGUAUAAAAACAACAUAUUUCAGCGCGUUAUGCCGUCUAGGUAUUUUCAUGUGUACAUCAUCUUUUUGAAUUUGUCCAGUAUAUGAAAUAUAUAACUUGUCAUGUUGUAUUCAAUUAAUGUAACAUUUACUUUUGUUUUUAGUGAAAUAAAGUUGUGGCUUAUCACCAAAUAAAACGGUCACCUGUGUUGGUAAACGCAAUAAGUAUUAAUUAAUGUUAUUGGAAAAAACUUCCACUUCCGAUUUUGAAGUGUUUUUUAAUGUAACUAAAUUGUAUGGGGUUGAUUAGCCCGAGUCUUCAUGAUUAAUUUAGUUUUAAUUAGUGAGUUCAGUCAACCACUAAAUAGGUUACUCAGUUAUGUUUCAGUCUAAAGUAUAGAUCAAUGAACACAAACAAACACCAAACAAAUUAGUUAAUUAUACAUAAGUUUAGGUGGUUAUCCCAUAGCUAGGAGUAAAAACCAAUAAGUUUGAUUGAUACGUUAAACAAACUAAAUGAUAUACACCAACUCGUAGCCUACUUUCCACAUUUUAAAGUCCACAUUUCAGAGCACAAGUCAUUGAGACUAGUUGGUCACCAAAUAGGUCGAUUGAUCAUAGACCAGCAUGGAUAGUCAAUCACUAACUCGAGGAGUAAGACGAGUCUGGCUAACAAUACAAAUAUAUUGGUUGACCAUGAAUUAGACGAAUCGUUAUGAACAGUCUGAGAAUAGAUUAACUUUAAAGUUGAUCAAGUUAAGAAUAAAGUACAAUUAUUCAUAAUUAUAUCGUAAUUAGAUCAACGUUAAUCAAAAGCUUACGAAAUAUAUAAAUAAAUGUUUGAGAUAAGAAAGUAUGAUAAAUACAUUUACUAUUACAUUAAUUAUCAUCGCUUAAAUGUUGAGCUAAUUUGAACAUCAAAAUACUUUUUGUAAUCACCAUCCUAUCUAUUUGAACGAAUAAAAGUUUGCUUUCAAAAUAAUAUUUAAAUUUCAAGUAAUAUAACACAGUCUAAAGUGUUGACAUUGAUCUCACGUCUGAAAAGAAAUCAUACAAAUGCUUAAAAUUUAAAUUUAGAGCCUUUUAUUAAAAGGUAUGAGAAGUGUUAUUAUUUCAUAAGGAAAAUUUUGUCUCAUUGUUUUAAUAUCAAUUACUAAAACAUUUAUCUUCCUUCCAUACACAGCAUUAAUCAGUCUUAAACGUUUGCAUUACGAAACUUCUUACCCUUCUAUUCCAAAAAAACACAGUUGUGAAGGAGGUAUAAACGAAGCAUCAAUUUCAAAGUAUCAUAAUUACAUAAAUUAUAAACAUUUUCAUUAUAUCAAGAAAGGCACCCAUUACUAUAAAAAGACACUGAAGUAUAAGGAAAGAUUAAUGUUAAAACAAAUUAAAUAGCAAUUAAUGUAAAAAUAUAGGUUUAAUACUCAAUUUUGUCCCUAAUUUGGUUGACAAAUUUCAAUUUAGUCUCUCUUUAGAAAAUGUUUGAAAUUGGUCCUUACUUUUAAAUUUUUGAGUCAAAAUAGUCCCUUCGGUUAAAUAAUGACAAACUGCGUUAAAUUUUUUUUUCUCACUUCUCAUUUUCUGUGUAUUAUAGGUUUUUGUCAGCAUUUGCAGUAUUUAAUGAUUAUUGUACUUUUCUCAAUAAAAUUUAAUAUCCUUCAUUGAGUAGUCAAAAAAUUUUAAUUAUAAAUAAAGAUUAUGCUAACUUGUUACCUCUACUACCAAAUGAUUCUUUAUAAAUGUGAUUCUCUUCAGAAAAAUACUUUUAUUUAGUUAUUACUUUUACAAUACAUUUUUUAAAUUUUGAAAAAUUGAUUAAAAAUAAAUCUAAAUAUAUAUAUUUUUAAUUUCUGUAAAAUAAGUAAGUUUAUAAUUAUUUUAAAACGUAUUUAUUUCUUAAUUACUCUAAAAUUAAAAAUAAAAAAUUUAAUUUUUUAAUGAUUUUUUUGUUUUUAAUAAAAGUAUUUUUUUUAAAGAGAAUCACAUUUAUAAAGAAAUUUAAAGGUAUUCCAUUUGGUAGUAGAGGUAGGAAGGAUAUUAAAUUUUACUGGAAAAAGUACAAUAAUCAUUAAAUACGGUAAAUGUUCACAAAAACCUGCAAUGCACAAAAAAUGAGAAGAGAAAAAAAAAAUUUAACAUCCUUUGUCAUUAUUUAUCGGAAGAGAUUAUUUUGACUCAAAAAUUUAAAAUAAAGACCAAUUUCAAGCAUUUUUCUAAAGGAAAACUAAAUUAAGAUUUGCCAACCAAACUAGGGUCAAAAUUGGGUAUUAAACCAAAAAAUAUAUAUAACUUAAAGAAGUUGGAAAAGAAAAGAAAAAAUAUGUAUUUAUUUAUUGGAAUGUUUCCAUAGUAAUAACAAGAAUUACAUUAGAUGACAUUUCUGAUUAGUAGGUGUUACAUAUGGGGGUUGUUGGAGUUUUUCUCUUUUACAAAAGAAAAUGAUUGCAGAUGGAAAUGGGUGAGUGUGAGCAGUAGUGAAAUUUCUCUUCCUCUGAGCUAAGUUAUCUGCUUUUGUUUUUUGCAGUGUGUCCAAAAACAUCAAUCAAAGUUUUCAGAUUAGUUUUGGUGGUUUGUUGUCUGAUUUUUCUGCUUAUUUUUUUCUGAAUGGAAGCCAAUGGUUGCUAAGUCGCUCACUUAAUCGUAUCUACAGUCUUCCAAAUUAAGCUAACUUAGAAAUGAUCUUAAAGCGGAAUUUAACCACUAAUAGGCCUUAAAAUCUUUAAUAUAAACAAUACUAAGAAUUGUAGAAAAAAAUUGAACUCCUCCUCCAUGUUAGGAAUUCAAAUGUUAGUCAAAGUUUUAUAUUAAAUAAAAAUUAAAAAAUAAAAUAUUAUAUAAAAAUAAAAAAGACUCAUUAAUUUAUUAAUGUAAAAAACAAUAUCAAUUUUUUAUAUCAUCAGACUUAUAUCUACUUGAUAUUGUGUCUUUUCAAUAAAUUUUUUCCUCGAUAGAUCCAACAUUACCUGCAUAGUCUCAAAAGCAUUAUCAUUGACUAAGAGUAAAAUCAACACUCUUAAACUCAUCUUUUUUAAGACAUUACACCAAAUCAUUAUUUUCCAAAUGUUGAAUACCGGCAUGCAUGAGUAGCACACUCAUGAUCAUUCUCCAAAUGUAAAUUGGUAUAAAGAACCACAUUUUCUCUAAUUUUCUUUCAAUUAAGGAGAAAAAAAUAAAUAAAAAUUUCUCACCAUUUCGUUAUUUUCAUUGAAUCAUCUAUUCUUUUUUUGCACUUCAAAAAUUACCACUUUGAAAAUAAGUAUUUUGACAUCGUAUAGUGUUCUUUGCUUUCAAGUGAUGUGAAAUUUAAGAUUAAUUUAAUUUCCAACUAUAUUUGAAGGUGGCAAGCAUCCACAUUAGAGAAAAUGUUCAAUAAAAAACUAAAAAUUAAGGUAAAAAGUUCAACUGAAAAUCUAAAUUGUCAUAUAACAAUUUGAUAAGUCUUUUAUUUUUACUGUUUCAUACACUUUUUUUUAUGGCUUAAAUUUGAAUAUCAUCAACUUGAAAAAUGAUAUUAUUCUUAAAUAAUAAUAAUAUAUAACUAUAUAUAAAAAUGAUACAUCUAUUUGGUAUCUUUUUUGUUUUUCCAAUUUUAUCCUCUUAAUUUUUACUUUUUAAAUGUAAAUAAUUAUUCAUAAUAAAAAACUAUUUUUUAGUUUAUCAUUUUAAGAACUAUUUUUUUAAUUAAAAUAAUUACUCGUUAUAUAAAAUUAUUUACUCUUUUAUUAUUUUAGUAACUAUUUUUUUAAAAUUUAAAUAAUUAUUCAUAAUAUUAUUUAAACAAUAUCCCUUGUAAUAUUUUUUAUUUCAAUAACUAAAGUUUAUUUUAUCCAUAACUAUAUUCAAAACUAUACACAUCUUUUAUUUUCCCAAUUUUACUCCUUUAAUUAUUACUUUUAACAUUUGAAUAAUUUAUAAAUAUUUUAAAAAUAGCACAUAUUUAUAUUUAAAAAUAAUAACAGUACACUCAAAUCUAUAUUCUAAAGUAAUGAUAAAUAAUUGUUUGUCUCACUUUAAAGUUUGGUAGAUGAAAAAAAAAGACAGAGGAAAAGAAAGGGGGAGAAAGGAAUAUUAAAACAAAUAAAAUAAUUUUAGAAAAAAGUAAAAUAAAAAUUACUUAAUAAAUUAUAUUUAUUAUUAAGUAACCAAUUUUGAUUUUCAGUUAUUUUUCUCUACCAACCAACCAGUAAUGUACUUAUAUUGGAUUGAAGAAUGAGAUUGGGUUAAAACAUGUGAUUCUAGGAAGGACCAUCUCUAAUAAUAAUAAUAAAAAAUAAAAAAAAGUUUUAAGUAAUGAGUUGUCGGCAUCAGAGUACGUGUAUGGUGAGCUGAAUGAGAGACCCCACAACUUCAAAUAAAACACUCUUUUUCUGCAGCUACAUGUAUCCAUCACAUCCUACAACCGAACAACUUUCCUCUUUGCAGCCUUCCACCAUGUAAUUAAACUGCCUCAAAACAUUAUAUUAUACACAUGUAAGUCUCAUGUAAACUAUUAAUAAAAUCUAUAUAUACUAUAUAAAUAGACAUAUCUUAUUUUAUAAAUUAAUUUUAUAGAGUUUAAUUAAUUUAAAUUUUAUUUUAUAAAUUAUUUUUGUAAGAUUAAAUUAGAUUUAAAAUUUAUUUUUUAAUUCAUAUAUAAGUAAUUAGGUGAAGUAAAAAAUUGCCUCAAUUUAAUGUAAAAUUAUUGAGUGUACUUAAUUCUUUUAAAUUAUGAUUUAGGAGAAGAAUAAAAAUAUUUAUAAUUAGAAUUUCAAUUUUAUUCACUAUAAAUAAUAUGAAUCUUCAAAUAUUGUAUAAGAUAAUAUUAUUAAAAGAAAUAAUUAUGAUAUUUUUGAUUAUCACAACAAAAUCUUACAUUUAUAAUAAAUGUAAUUAUUUACUUUAUUAUUUUAUUUCUAUAUUUAUAAGUUUCAAAAUAAAUUUUUAAUUAAAAUUAAUUUAAAUACGGUUUAGUAGGUCCAAAAGUCCACGAGCAUGUUUUUAUUUAUUAAUAUAAAAGAUUUGUAAUGCUGAAAUAGGUAUGGAUUUAUUGAGAAAUCAUUCAGUUUGUACAAACUUGGAAUUGAAAACAGUCUUCCUCUAAUGUUCUUUUGGAAGCAUUUACCGUUGGUCUAUGAAAAACUGAUCAUACUAUAUAUGUAAUAAUAAUAAUUUAUUUAAAAAUAAUUUAGUGUAGGAAAUGCAAAAAUAAUUAUUUUGGAUAGUUAAUAAUUUAAUAAGUAAAUAAUUGGAAAAGGAAAAUUAGAUGAAGAUUUUUUUUCUAGAAUGAAAUUAUGUGAGUAUUUUUACUGUGGAAAAUUAUGAUAUGAGUAGGCAUAUGUUAAUGAACAGAAAUUAUUUUUUUUUAUAUAUGUUGUGAAAAUAAAAGAAUUUAUGCAAUGAUAUAAUGUAUUAAAUAAAUAAAAAAAAGAACAAAAAAAUUUGAGAAAUUAAUUGUUUAAUAAAAAAUAAAACCUUUAUAAAAAAUUUCUUUUAUCAAUAGCUAUAUAUAUAUAUAUAUAAAGAAAAUUAUUCUUCAACAACUUCAUUAAUUACGAAGGUAUUUGCGAAAUCAAGGGUGCAAAGUGAACCCCUUAAAAAUACAGGACAAAACGUCCUAAAACUCAUGCAAGUUUGAUCCAAGACCCUAAUUUUCCUCAUAAAUAAAAUAGUAUUAUACUUUGAUAAUUAAUCUUACAAUAGGUCUACUUUGAAAAAAUAAACCGGAAAAAGAGUUUAUUUAGAGAAAAAAAAAUAUUUAAUUAUAUUUUAUAAUCCUUAAAAUAAUUUAGUAAAAAAGAAAAUUUUCUGAAAUUGAAAAUUAAAAUAAAAUUAAGAUAUAAAAUUAUUAUGAAAUUUUAGUAAAUAAAGAACUACAUUUUAUAAUAAAUAUAUAUUAAAAUAAAUUGUUAAAUUAAAUAAAUAUAUUUUAUUUUUGUUUUUAUUUAUUUUAUUAUAAUAAUAAAACAUAUUUAUAAAUAUUUAGCUAUUAUAUCUUACAUUUUAAUUUAAAAAUAUAUGAUAAAAUUAAUUUUAAAUUUAAAAUAAUUAAAUAUUCUUUUUUAGAACAGUACUUCAUAUCUUAUCUUAUAUUCUUAAAGUUAUAUAUAUAUAUAUAUAUAUAUUAACAUUUUUUUAAUUCUCGGUUUCAACACUUUCAGUGUAUUUCUCUCUGUCGUCUGCAAACAAACACAAUCCAAAAGGUGUUUUAAGAAAAAAAAAACAUAUUUAAAUCAUUUAAAUUUUAAAUGAUUUGAAUUUUCAGAAAGAAAAAUGAGUUAAUGUAUUUAGUGGAAGAUAAAUGGAAAAAUGAAAAGAAUAUAUAUGAGGAUAAAUAAAAACAUAUAAAAAAUAAAGCCACAUGCAAAAAAAGAAAAGAAGAAUAGAGCUUAGAAGAGUGGUGAUGGUGGAGAGAGACAGAAGAAGCAUUGAAUAGUUUGUUUUUGUGGACAGAAAGAUAGGAAGUAACAUGUCCCUGACACCCAACAUAGAAGCAGGAGUCUGUGAUUGAAUGAAUGGCCUUUGGAUUCCCUCACACCAACAUGCAUUUUUUAUUUAUUUUUUCCUUUUCUGUCUAUAUACAUUCCUCUGUGAAAGCAAUGGGCAGUGUAAAAAAAUUAAGUGAAAUGUAUUUCUAAGUUUUUUUAUUGCUUAAUACCCUUUUCCUCAUAUCUUAUUUAUAAAAACUUUUGGUUUUACAUUCAAUUAAGAAAAAAUAGCUUUAACUAAUUUUUUCCUCAAAAAAAAAAUAACACGUCUAAUAUGGUUUAUUUGAUCUCUACAUAGGAUAUUUUGCAACUUCAAUAGUUUUAACAAUCUAUAAAACAGUUUAAAAAUAUUAAAAAGUUCAAUUAUAAAUAAUUUUUUUAUUAAUUAAGUUUCACUUUAUAAUCUCAAAUUUUUUCCAAAUUUUUUUCAUUUUUUUAUAGAUUUUUUACUUCAUCAUUUAUUUGUUUGAAUUAUAUUAUAGGAUUCAUGAUGUCAAGAUAUACAAUUCUAUCUUAUCAGAAUUUCAAACAUAAUGAGUUUAUCUUUUACCUUUUUUUUUUGUAAAGAAUAUAUUGUAUUUGGAGUAUUUUGAACUUAUGUAUGACGGUUAAGGGCUUAAAAUGAAUAUUUGAUCAAUUGUGAUUGUUAAGGUGUGAUCAGAUUGUUGACAAGAAUUAUCUAUGUAUUACUGGUAGAGCAAUCUAAGUGAGAUAGAGUCUAUGGAGCUUGUGAGAGUUAAACUUUUGUAGAACACAUUUUGGAAGUCUAAGAGCAUCUAUUUAGGAAAGGAAAGCUAGAUUAAGUGUAAAUAGUUUUAUUAAAUUGUAGUUUGAUCUGAUGAAGUGACUGUGAAAUUGUGAUUGGUACAGUAAAAUUUAAUUGUUUGUGUCUGUGUUGAUUUAAUUAUGAUAGUGUGUGAAUUAUGAAUUGUGAAAUUUAGAAUUUGGGGAUGUUGAAUUGUAUUGUAAAUUAUUUAAGUAUAUCGAUGGAAUUGAAUUGUGAUUUUAUUGCUUGGACUAUUGUUUUUGGGUUGUUUUAGUAUUAUUGUCUCUCAAGCUGAUUUAAUUUGGAUAAGAUCGUUCAAUUUGAUUUAUUUGAUGUUAUUUUGAACUAAAAUAAGGUAUUAUAAACUAGUAAGAAACUAAAGUUACAUAGAUUGUCAAGUUGGAUAGUCUAUUCAGAUCAAUUUGGAAGUUAAAACUCUGGUAUAACAUGACACGGUACUACAUAAUCAUCAGGUUCCACUCACAAGACUCAAGUGGUCUAGAGCAUCGAGUGUAACUUUGACAUUAUUGGACACUCACUUGACAUUAGGCUCUGGAGUUCAAAGGUGCUCGGUGGUCCCCAGGGCACUCAUCUAACAUGGAGCACUAGAGGAUUUGACAUUAGGUGCCACCUGAGUUUUUCCUCAUGGAUUAUUAUCUCGAUAAAAUUUUGAUUUUCAUUUUGUUAACCGUUGGAUCGAACUAAAAUUUUGACAAAUAGUUUUUGAAGUAUGGUUAUUCAUUUUGAUUGGUAGUUCUUGACACAUGCUUAUUCAUUUUGACAGAUAAUUCUUUAUUUUGACAGUUGAGAUUGUUAAUUGGAGGUUUGUGAUAAUAAAAAUGCUUUUUAUCGUUAUGAUUAUACUUAACAGAAAUAUUGUAAUUGAAUAUUAUGUUAAUUCAAUAAAAAAAAAUUAUGAAUCAUUAACAUGUAAUGGAAAGAAAUAUAGGUGAUUGAUACUAUGAGAUAAAUUUAGAUUGAAGCAAAAUACAUACUUAUGACAUGAUGUGACAAUUUAAAGUUAUAUUUGAAUCAUAUGUAAUAUGUUUUUAUUUGAUUUUUCUAUUAUAAUUGUGUUUGUCAAUUUAGUAAUAUUUAUCGUGAAUUAGAAUGAAUACGAAUUGAAGAAUGAAAUAAUUAUUCUUAGAAUGAGAAUAUUACAAUGGAAAAUACUAUAAUCGAUAAAUAUAGCAUUGGUUAAAACAAAAAUGAAUGUAAUGUGUUCUUAAGCAUCGAUUAAAUGUUUGUUGAAAUAUAUAUUGCAUCAAUUUUUUUUGAAGGAACCUAUGUAAUAUGUAAACACUGUUUCGGUCGUUCUAAAUAACAAAUAUAAUAUAUUAUAUUUGUAAGAGGGAAAUGAUAUGAGUUAUAUGUAUGUUAUCUUGCAAUUGCAAAUCAAUAACAACUAAUUAAACUAAAUUGUGUGAAAAAUGAAAAUUCAAUACUGGCUUAAUCUAAUAAAUAAUGAAAUUUUGCUUAAAUAUAAAUGUUUACUUAUAAUUUCAUCAAAAUUGUCAUACAUCACAUUAUAUAUAAACUAACUACAACUAUUAAUGGAAAGUAAAUUAAUUAACAUUUUCAAAGUAACACACUAUUUCAAACACAACUAAUGUUAAUUUCUAACACAUAAAAAAUAAAAAUAUAUAAAUAUUCAAAUAUAACUAAUGUAUUACUGUAAUGAUAUUUUAAUUCAAAUAAUGGUAGCAAUUUGUGGCAACUCCCGUUAUAUUAAUGGUAAUAAAGGUAAAUGACUUAACAAAAAGUUGUAUCUUUGGAGUGUGGUGGUAUAACAACGUUUUUAGUGUGGUGGAAAUAUAUGAGAUAAUUUUAUUUCUUAUUGAGGAAUGAUGGCAAUUUAUAAUAGAGAAAUAAGUAUAAAUUUUAUCUUAAAAAUUGAAUUUAUAAAGUUUAGUUAAAUUUAAAGUUUACUUUUUUUAAUAUGAUAUCAUAUUUUUAAAUUAAAGUUUAUCAUAAUAAAAUUUAUUGUUUUUAAAAUUUUUUAUUUUAUCAAUUAUAAAAUUAUUAAUUAGCCUCAUAAUUAAGAUAUAUUUAAAUUAAUGUGAAAAGAAUGUGAUAAAAAUUUUAUAUCACUUAAAAAUAAAAUUAAUUCAUAAUAUAAAAGAAUAUAAAUCUCACGUUAUCAUAAUUUUAAUUAUGAGAUUAUGAAGAAACAACAAUCUCACAAGUAUUCAUUACGUUCUCGUGGUUCACGAGUGGAAGAACAUCACGAUGGUUUGUCGGUGAAGAGAAGUUUCGAAUUAGAUUUUUGAAAUGGAAGUGUGUCCGAAGUGAAAAUGCAAAAGUGUAGAUUUUCAAAAAUGGUAAAAGAGGAAGACACGUUUAAGGGUUGCUGGGUUUAAAAGGAUGAUUUAUAUAUUGUUAUAAACCAUCAAUGUAAAAAGUCAAUAAAAAAAUACAUAAAUUCACAUAUUAAACUAUAUAAUAUAGUUGUUUGUGCAUAAUUUACAUCUGUACAAUUAAUGUAAUACCUAUUAGUUGCACAAAAACUAAUUUUAUUUAUGGAUGUAAAAUAAACGUUUUUCACAAAUGAAUAUGUCAAUAUGUACUAAUAAUAAAAAAAAAAAGCAGUUAUUUGAUUAGCUAUUCACAUUUCUCGUUUCUUUUGUCUUAUUAGUGCAAAAAUGUUAUUUAACGUCAUCCAGAAGAUGUCGGUGUGCUGGUAAUCCGACAUAUAUGAGUGGAUGGUGGCAUUAUCGUAAAUAAUUUGGUAAAUUAGAUGUCGGUUUUAAGCUAAGGCGACGUCUAUGAUACUGUAGACGUCCUCACUGCCCCAAACCGACGUCUAAUAGCCUGAGGUAGGUGAGAAGACAGUCCAGUGACGUCGGUGUUAACGGGGGCCGACGUCUACUAGACUGCAAUUAAUGCUCUUCACCUAAUUCCCAUGCGCUUAGACGUCACGUAGUCAAAAGGCGACAUCUAAGGCCUGUCUGGAAGGCGGGAAGACAAAAAAUUCUUCAGUUUAGACGUCGGUAUUGAGGGGAAGCGACGUCUAUGUGUCUGUAAUUAAUUAUGUUCACCAAACUCGAGGGCCUUAGACGUCGGCUAGAAGGGCACCGAUGUCUACGUUACUAUAGACGUCAGCGCCCCAUCACAACUGUCGUGAAUAUCCCUGACAGGAAAUCAAACGUCAAUCGGUUCAGCUUCCUAGACUCGAGUCCCCUCGAAUUCGACGUCUAAUGGGUAUUCAAAAAGUCAUUUUAAAUGUUAACUUGGACAUCAUAUUAGUGAGGUAACCGACGUCUAAGUGACUAUAGACUUCGGUUUCUGGAAAAAUCGACGCCUAAUUUCAUUUUAAAUAAACCACAAACUCUUCGCGACAUUCAAUUUCUGAUAUUGUCUUCCUCUUCUCCUUUUUCUCUUGCGGCACCUCUUUUUUUUUCUCGCUUGCGGCACCUUUUUUUUUUUUUCUUUCUUGCGACAUUCUAUUGUUGUUUCUGAUAUCUUUAUCGUCUUCCUCCUCUCCUUUUUCUCUCUUGCAGCAUUGCAUCCUAGGUGUGUGUUUUUUUUUAUGCUUACCGUUUAAACUUUGUUUAGUCUUUCAUCGAUUAUAUUCUGGUUCAACUGAUUAAAAUUUGCUUUUUUUGUGUUGUGUUUUAGUGCAGUUUUGUUCCUUUCUCGGGAUAACGUAGUAACACAUUCUCCACUUGCUAGCUGCCUCCCAGAAAAAGCGGCGUCUUGUGAAUUUCUUUUGGUCGUUUCAACCCAAAAACGACCUUGGGUCGUUGCCUAGUUAUCGUUUCACUGUGAUUUUUUCCUCUUGCAAAUGAAAAUGAAACUAAGCAACAACCCAGGUUCGGUUUUGGAUUGAAACGACUCAUAAGAAAUUCAAAAGACGCAAGUUUUUUUUUUUUGAGGGAAACUAGCAAAAGGAGAUUGUGCUACUAGGCUAUCCAAAGAUGAGAACAAAACUGCACUAAAACACAGCCACUAGAUUAAACAUCGGUUAUUGCCCAGAUCGACAUCUAUAUAAUGUCUUUAGACGUCCAGUUAGUCCUACUCCGACGUUUAGUGAUGUUGGACAUGGCGCUGACUGACGUCACUAUAGACAUCGGUUAUAUUCAUGUCCGACGUUCCAUUGACGUCACCAGAAAUGACGUUGAUUGUUUUGUAGACAUUAAAAAUUCAAAAUAACCGACGUUAAUCAGCGUUUUUCCACCAGUGCCUAUUUAACAAGCUACAAUGCACAAUUCGUAAAUCUUAAUAGACAGACUAAAUUAGGUAGGCUUUGGUUGGUGGUUUAUUUAGUAAUAUAGUAUUAAUAUAAAUUAUUUAUAGUUUCAUAUUACUAGGAUAUUUGAACUUCUAUCAUCUAGUUAAAGAAUACAAUUUUGGCUGAUAAUGUAAUUUACAUUAUCUAUAAUAUUGUGACUUAAUGUGGUAGGAUUUUUUUAAUUCUUAUUUUUUUUAUGGAUAAAUGAUAAUAGUAAUAAUAAUAAUAAAUAAUAAUAAUAAAUAAAGUUAAAGUAUAACAAUAAAAAUAACUAUUUUUUGACAAAUUUUUUUUUUCAUUUAUUUCUCAUGUAUUUUUCUUUCAACUUUUCAUUUUUUUAUCACCCUAAACCCUAAAUAUGCGACAGAGGGUGUUUACUAUAAGAUUAUUUCAAGUAUGUAAUAAAAGUAGGAGAGUUUAAAAUUAUAAAUGAUAAAAUUUACUAGAGUGGUUAAAAUGGAUAAUCCGGCUUGACCCGGUCUGGCCCAUCAUGGGUUGGUCACUUAGUGAGGCAAUCCAACUUGGCUCAUUUAUUAGCGAGUCAGAAAAAUCUGAACCCGACUCGACCCACCAC
rnacentral:lncRNA from 1 species